UACGGAGGAUGCAAGCGUUAUCCGGAAUGAUUGGGCGUAAAGCGUCCGCAGGUGGCGAUGUAAGUCUGCUGUUAAAGAGUCUAGCUCAACUAGAUAAGAGCAGUGGAAACUACAUAGCUAGAGUACGUUCGGGGCAGAGGGAAUUCCAGGUGUAGCGGUGAAAUGCGUAGAUAUCUGGAGGAACACCGGUGGCGAAGGCGGCGUCCUGGACCAACACUGACACUGAGGAGCGAAAGCCAGGGGAGCAAACGGG
rnacentral:rRNA from 1 species